rnacentral:rRNA from 1 species
AGAGUUUGAUCCUGGCUCAGGAUGAACGCUGACAGAAUGCUUAACACAUGCAAGUCUACUUGAAUUUGGGUUUUUUAACUUCGAUUUGGGUGGCGGACGGGUGAGUAACGCGUAAAGAACUUGCCUCACAGCUAGGGACAACAUUUGGAAACGAAUGCUAAUACCUGAUAUUAUGAUUAUAGGGCAUCCUAGAAUUAUGAAAGCUAUAUGCGCUGUGAGAGAGCUUUGCGUCCCAUUAGCUAGUUGGAGAGGUAACGGCUCACCAAGGCGAUGAUGGGUAGCCGGCCUGAGAGGGUGAACGGCCACAAGGGGACUGAGACACGGCCCUUACUCCUACGGGAGGCAGCAGUGGGGAAUAUUGGACAAUGGACCGAGAGUCUGAUCCAGCAAUUCUGUGUGCACGAUGACGUUUUUCGGAAUGUAAAGUGCUUUCAGUUGGGAAGAAAAAAAUGACGGUACCAACAGAAGAAGUGACGGCUAAAUACGUGCCAGCAGCCGCGGUAAUACGUAUGUCACGAGCGUUAUCCGGAUUUAUUGGGCGUAAAGCGCGUCUAGGUGGUUAUGUAAGUCUGAUGUGAAAAUGCAGGGCUCAACUCUGUAUUGCGUUGGAAACUGUGUAACUAGAGUACUGGAGAGGUAAGCGGAACUACAAGUGUAGAGGUGAAAUUCGUAGAUAUUUGUAGGAAUGCCGAUGGGGAAGCCAGCUUACUGGACAGAUACUGACGCUGAAGCGCGAAAGCGUGGGUAGCAAACAGGAUUAGAUACCCUGGUAGUCCACGCCGUAAACGAUGAUUACUAGGUGUUGGGGGUCGAACCUCAGCGCCCAAGCAAACGCGAUAAGUAAUCCGCCUGGGGAGUACGUACGCAAGUAUGAAACUCAAAGGAAUUGACGGGGACCCGCACAAGCGGUGGAGCAUGUGGUUUAAUUCGACGCAACGCGAGGAACCUUACCAGCGUUUGACAUCUUAGGAAUGAGACAGAGAUGUUUCAGUGUCCCUUCGGGGAAA